rnacentral:tRNA from 2 species
GGAGAGGUGGAUGAGUGGUUUAAGUCGCACGCCUGGAAAGCGUGUUUGGGAUAAUAUCCCAACGGGGGUUCGAAUCCCCCCCUCUCCGCCA